CCCUUAGAUGUUCUGGGCCGCACGCGCGCUACACUGAUGCAUUCAACGAGCCUAUCCUUGACCGACAGGUCCGGGUAAUCUUUGAAUCUGCAUCGUGACGGGGAUAGAUUAUUGCAAUUAUUAAUCUUCAACGAGGAAUGCCUAGUAAGCACAAGUCAUCAGCUUGUGUUGAUUACGUCCCUGCCCUUUGUACACACCGCCCGUCGCUCCUACCGAUUGAAUGUUCCGGUGAGCUCUUCGGACUGCGCGGUCUGCAGUUUCUGCGUUCCGUGCGGAAAGUUGCGCAAACCUUAACAUUUAGAGGAAGGAGAAGUCGUAACA
rnacentral:rRNA from 1 species